rnacentral:ncRNA from 1 species
CCUUGAAGAGCACUAUGUCAAACGAAAGUAGCUAAGCCUAUAGAUGUAAAUUUAUAGACGGCAAAAUCGGACGUGAUGAACAAGGAA